rnacentral:rRNA from 1 species
AGUCAACCUACCCUAUGGACGGGAAUAAUCUCGGGAAACUGAGGAUAAUUCCAGAUAGAACACUAUGCCUGGAACGGUUUGUGUUCCAAAUGAUUUAUCGCCGUAGGAUGGGACUGCGUCCUAUCAGUUUGUUGGUGAGGUAAUGGCCCACCAAGACUAUUACAGGUACGGGCUCUGAGAGGAGUAGCCCGGAGAUGGGUACUGAGACACGGACCCAGGCCCUAUGGGGCGCAGCAGGCGAGAAAACUUUGCAAUGUGCGAAAGCACGACAAGGUUAAUCCGAGUGGUUCCUGCUAAAGGAACCUUUUGACGGUCCUAAAAACACCGUUGAAUAAGGGGUGGGCAAGUUCUGGUGUCAGCCGCCGCGGUAAAACCAGCACCUCAAGUGGUCAGGAUGAUUAUUGGGCCUAAAGCAUCCGUAGCCGGCUCUGUGAGUUUUCGGUUAAAUCUGUGCGCUCAACGUACAGGCUGCCGGGAAUACUGCAGAGCCAGGGAGUGGGAGAGGUAGACGGUACUUGGUAGGAAGGGGUAAAAUCCUUUGAUCUAUUGAUGACCACCUGUGGCGAAGGCGGUCUACCAGAACACGUCCGACGGUGAGGGAUGAAAGCUGGGGGAGCAAACCGGAUUAGAUACCCGGGUAGUCCCAGCUGUAAACCAUGCAAACUCAAUGAUGCAUUGGCUUGAAGCCAAUGCAGUGUU